rnacentral:rRNA from 1 species
GACGAACGCUGGCGGCGUGCUUAACACAUGCAAGUCGAACGGUAAGGCCCUUCGGGGUACACGAGUGGCGAACGGGUGAGUAACACGUGGGUGAUCUGCCCUGCACUUCAGGAUAAGCCUGGGAAACUGGGUCUAAUACCGGAUAGGACUCCUGGCUUCAUGGUUGGGGGUGGAAAGCUUUUGCGGUGUGGGAUGGGCCCGCGGCCUAUCAGCUUGUUGGUGGGGUAAUGGCCUACCAAGGCGACGACGGGUAGCCGGCCUGGGAGGGUGACCGGCCACACUGGGACUGAGAUACGGCCCAGACUCCUACGGGAGGCAGCAGUGGGGAAUAUUGCACAAUGGGCGCAAGCCUGAUGCAGCGACGCCGCGUGAGGGAUGACGGCCUUCGGGUUGUAAACCUCUUUCAGCUAUGACGAAGCGCAAGUGACGGUAGUAGCAGAAGAAGGACCGGCCAACUACGUGCCAGCAGCCGCGGUAA